UGCGCUGCACCUUCACUCUGGUCACGGGUCUGGCAGUCGGCUCACCAAUUCGUCCUGCUUCCCUGGGACUCGCCGGCUUUUAGCACUGCAAUUCACUCAGCAAACUGGGACUGUUGGUCACCCUACCUGGCAGCCAGUGAUAAGGGCUGGUGUCAUUGGCAUGACAGACCUGCCUUGGCUGAGCGUUCACCCGUCUUCGGAGUUCAGCCACCUUAGCAAGUCCUGGGUUUGUUCUUCAGAUUUUGCUGCUCGCCCAUUGCCUGGAUCGGGGGCUACUUUGUAAACCACCAGGAAGACUCCAGUGUUUCUGCUUAAUUUUUAGAUGUUUGUUAAUUGCUCUUGGCCUCUCAUUAAUCCCCUGUGGGUCAUCCAGGAAAUAUACUCACCACUGUCUGUUCUCUGAGUUUUCAUUUCCAGGCAUCCGCCCUGCCUGGAUCUCCUCACCUGCCAGGAACUUCCUCUCCACAAGCCGGCCAUCCCAGCAAAAGUUCUAACACCAAAGGUCUGGCAACUAGCCUGCCAUCUUGUGCCUGGAGCCGCCUGCGUGCCACCUACUCCCGAAGAUGGGAACCUUGUUGCCAGUUGGGCAGAUGCGGGGCAAUCCUGUACCAAGACCCCAUUUUACCACCUGCUUUCUCAGACCACUCUGGAACCCACUGUCUCAGAUUGUGUCCUCCAGGAAGCAGACCAUGAGAGGGAGUUGGCAGGGCCAAAGAUUUACUGGGGCUAACUAACACUCAGGAAAGGGAUAGGAAGGAAACAGGGCUGGAGAGCAGGUUGAGCCCGACCUGACAGUCUCGAGCAGCCCAACAGGGAGGUGUGGAGCAAGGGUUGCC
ensembl:lncRNA EOLA1-DT EOLA1 divergent transcript